rnacentral:rRNA from 1 species
AGGUGGCGAGCGUUAUCCGGAAUGAUUGGGCGUAAAGGGUGCGUAGGCGGUACGGUAAGUCUGUAGUAAAAGGCGGCAGCUCAACUGUCGUAGGCUAUGGAAACUGUCGAACUAGAGUGCAGAAGAGGGCGAUGGAACUCCAUGUGUAGCGGUAAAAUGCGUAGAUAUAUGGAAGAACACCAGUGGCGAAGGCGGUCGCCUGGUCUGUAACUGACGCUGAAGCACGAAAGCGUGGGGAGCAAA